rnacentral:rRNA from 1 species
GAUGAACGCUGGCGGCGUGCCUAAUACAUGCAAGUCGAGCGAACAGACGAGGAGCUUGCUCCUUUGACGUUAGCGGCGGACGGGUGAGUAACACGUAGGUAACCUACCUAUAAGACUGGGAUAACUUCGGGAAACCGGAGCUAAUACCGGAUAAUAUUUCGAACCGCAUGGUUCGAUAGUGAAAGAUGGCUUUGCUAUCACUUAUAGAUGGACCUGCGCCGUAUUAGCUAGUUGGUAAGGUAACGGCUUACCAAGGCAACGAUACGUAGCCGACCUGAGAGGGUGAUCGGCCACACUGGAACUGAGACACGGUCCAGACUCCUACGGGAGGCAGAAGUAGGGAAUCUUCCGAAAUGGGCGAAAGCCUGACGGAGCAACGCAGCGUGAGUGAUGAAGGUCUUCGGAUCGUAAAACUCUGUUAUUAGGGAAGAACAAACGUGUAAGUAACUGUGCACGUCUUGACGGUACCUAAUCAGAAAGCCACGGCUAACUACGUG